AAUAAAUGAAUUUAUUCAAGUAAUUGUUUGAAUUAACUAUAGAUAUUAUUAAAUUGAUUAAAUGAUCCAUUUGAAAUCCAUUUAUAAAUAAAAAAAGUAGAAAUUAAAAAUCAUGUUGAUCAAUUUGCCUUGAUAAAUGAUCAUUAGAAUUAAAUGCGAUUUUGUACCACAUUUAAUGAAUACUCUAUAAUUAAAAAAGAAGGCAAUAAAUGAAUUUAUUCAAGUAUUUUUUUGAAUUGACUAUAGAUAUUCUUAAAUUAAUUAAAUAAUCAAUUUGAAAUGCAUUUAUGAAUAUAAAGAGUAGAAAUAAAAAAUCA
rnacentral:lncRNA from 1 species